GAUGAACGCUGGCGGCGUGCCUAAUACAUGCAAGUCGAGCGAAUGGAUUAAGAGCUUGCUCUUAUGAAGUUAGCGGCGGACGGGUGAGUAACACGUGGGUAACCUGCCCAUAAGACUGGGAUAACUCCGGGAAACCGGGGCUAAUACCGGAUAACAUUUUGAACCGCAUGGUUCGAAAUUGAAAGGCGGCUUCGGCUGUCACUUAUGGAUGGACCCGCGUCGCAUUAGCUAGUUGGUGAGGUAACGGCUCACCAAGGCAACGAUGCGUAGCCGACCUGAGGGGGUGGUCGGCCACCAUGGGACGGAGACACGGCCCAGACUCCUACGGGAGGCAGCAGUAGGGAAUCUUCCGCAAUGGACGAAAGUCUGACGGAGCAACGCCGCGUGAGUGAUGAAGGCUUUCGGGUUGUAAAACUCUGUUGUUAGGGAAGAACAAGUGCUAGUUGAAUAAGCUGGCACCUUGACGGUACCUAACCAGAAAGCCACGGCUAACUACGUGCCAGCCGCCGCCGUAA
rnacentral:rRNA from 1 species